rnacentral:rRNA from 1 species
AGGGAAUCUUCCGCAAUGGGCGAAAGCCUGACGGAGCAACGCCGCGUGAGCGAUGAAGGUCUUCGGAUCGUAAAACUCUGUUAUUAGGGAAGAACAAAUGUGUAAGUAACUAUGCACGUCUUGACGGUACCUAAUCAGAAAGCCACGGCUAACUACGUGCCAGCAGCCGCGGUAAUACGUAGGUGGCAAGCGUUAUCCGGAAUUAUUGGGCGUAAAGCGCGCGUAGGCGGUUUUUUAAGUCUGAUGUGAAAGCCCACGGCUCAACCGUGAAGGGUCAUUGGAAACUGGAAAACUUGAGUGCAGAAGAGGAAAGUGGAAUUCCAUGUGUAGCGGUGAAAUGCGCAGAGAUAUGGAGGAACACCAGUGGCGAAGGCGACUUUCUGGUCUGUAACUGACGCUGAUGUGCGAAAGCGUGGGGAUCAAACAGGAUUAGAUACCCUGGUAGUCCACGCCGUAAACGAUGAGUGCUAAGUGUUAGGGGGUUUCCGCCCCUUAGUGCUGCAGCUAACGCAUUAAGCACUCCGCCUGGGGAGUACGACCGCAAGGUUG